UACGUAGGUGGCAAGCGUUGUCCGGAAUUAUUGGGCGUAAAGGGCGCGCAGGCGGCCUUCUAAGUCGAACGUGAAAUCCCCGGGCUCAACCCGGGAACUGCGUCCGAUACUGGAAGGCUUGAAUCCGGGAGAGGGAUGUGGAAUUCCAGGUGUAGCGGUGAAAUGCGUAGAUAUCAGGAGGAACACCGGUGGCGAAGGCGGUUCUCUGGGCAUUACCUGACGCUGAGGAGCGAAAGUGUGGGGAGCGAACAGG
rnacentral:rRNA from 1 species